UCAGAGCCUACACCUCGGACGACCAAACGACGAUGAGCCCGGACCAGCUUCUCCGAUUCCUAACUGAAUUCCAAGGAAUGAAACACGCCAAUCUGGAAACUGCAAGGGAGAUCGUGAAUCAGUUCCGAGAUUUCAGAUUUUACAUUAGAGGCGGACAUGUACGUGGAUUGAGUGUCGAUUCCUUCUUCCGGUACCUUUUCUCCGAUCACAACUCUCCAUUGAACCCGUCUGUAAGUAUUGGUUUCCCUUUCUGUCUAUGUGUGAUUUUAUGUUGCGGGAAAUUAAGAUGGUGCUAUAUACAUGAUAG
rnacentral:lncRNA from 1 species